rnacentral:rRNA from 1 species
AUGCGUUUCACCAUGGUGGAAGAAAUUGCACAAUCACAUCUGGUGACGUAUGGUAUGGACAGCUUUAAUUUUGUUGGCGACAUGGUGACUUUGACUCUAUGCAAGUGCUUGUGGCAGGAACAAGGGAAUGAUUUCUGUGGAUACUACGUCUGCGAGUUCAUCUACAACGCGACUUGCAAAAGUAAGCAGGGCUACUCUCAAAGACAAUUUGAUACAUGGCAGAUGCGGAAUGAACUCCUACCAGAAGAUCACAUGAAAGCAAUUCAAGAGGAAUUAGCGGGAUUCUUUGUUGACCACGUCAUCAAUAAAGCCGGAGAAUACCAUGUUGAAGCUGAGUUCUUAUAUAAUUAA